rnacentral:rRNA from 1 species
GACGAACGCUGGCGGCGUGCCUAAUACAUGCAAGUCGAGCGAAGAUUUUCUGGUGCUUUCACUAGAAAAACUUACCGGCGGACGGGUGAGUCACACGUAAAGUACCCGCCUCAUAGACAUGGCCAACUAUUGGUAACGAUAGCUCAUACUGGAUAACAGUAUUUCUCGCUUGAGGGAUAUUUAAAAGUUCGGUAUGCUAACACCAUGAGAUUGCUUUGCGGUGCAUUAGCUAGUUGGGGGGGUAAAGGCCCACCAAGGCGGCGAUGCAUAGCCGACCUGAGAGAGGGAUCGGCCACACUGGGACGGAGACACGGCCCAGACUCCUGCGGGAGGCAGCAGUAGGGAAUCUGCCGCAAUGGGCGAAAGCCUUACGGAGCAAGGCCGCGUGAGUGAAGAAGGAGUUCGGUUCGGAAAGCUCUGUUGUUGGGGAAGAAUGGAUAUGUAGUAACUAGACGUGUAAGAGACGGUACCUAGUCAGAAAGCCACGGCUAACUACGUG